rnacentral:tRNA from 1 species
GGUGGAAUGGCCGAGUGAAAGGCGGCGGUCUGUAGUCCCGUAUGACAGAGGUUUGAUUCCUCUUUCCAUCA